UUGUUUUUGACUCAGAGAAGUGAAGUGACAUAGUUAAUGUCAAGCUGGCAAGUGGCAAUAUCUCUUUGGGAAGGAGCUUUCAGGUUGGGAGGAUUUGAUUAUUGAAGACAACAGAAGAUGGUACUUAAGGCUUUGGCUCUGGAAAAAGAGAUACCUGGAUUCUGAUCCUGAUGCCUCUCACUUAAACUCUACAAGCCUCACUUUCUCAACAGCCAUGCCUGAACUGGACACCCUUCCAUACCAACCCAGGAAAAAGUGAUUCAGCUCCGGUCUACCCUGGGUGCAGCGGUCCUUCUGCCAAGAUGCCUUCAUGUCAUACAGCUAUUAUUUUCGGGAGGGUUCCAAGUGAGGGCAGUCAGGGUAAGUGCCUCUCACCAGCUUCCUGCUCAGACCAUUGCUCCACAUACCCUAGCUCAUAAAUCCUGCCCCAACC
rnacentral:lncRNA from 1 species